AGUGAACGCUGGCGGCAGGCCUAACACAUGCAAGUCGAACGGCAGCACAGUAAGAGCUUGCUCUUACGGGUGGCGAGUGGCGGACGGGUGAGGAAUACAUCGGAAUCUACUUUUUCGUGGGGGAUAACGUAGGGAAACUUACGCUAAUACCGCAUACGACCUACGGGUGAAAGCAGGGGAUCUUCGGACCUUGCGCGAUUGAAUGAGCCGAUGUCGGAUUAGCUAGUUGGCGGGGUAAAGGCCCACCAAGGCGACGAUCCGUAGCUGGUCUGAGAGGAUGAUCAGCCACACUGGAACUGAGACACGGUCCAGACUCCUACGGGAGGCAGCAGUGGGGAAUAUUGGACAAUGGGCGCAAGCCUGAUCCAGCCAUACCGCGUGGGUGAAGAAGGCCUUCGGGUUGUAAAGCCCUUUUGUUGGGAAAGAAAAGCAGCAGGUUAAUACCCCGCCGUUCUGACGGUACCCAAAGAAUAAGCACCGGCUAACUUCGUG
rnacentral:rRNA from 1 species